UUGAUUUAUUUAUUCUUUAAUUCAGAUGACACAUUUAUAAUGGGUUUGAGAAAUUUUCUGACGGGCGAACCCGCCAAAGAAACAGGUAAUUAAACACAGGGUUGAAGGUUGAACCCCGAAGGGUUCCCUUUUCAAUAAUGAUCCUUCCGCAGGUUCACCUACGGAACGUUCUUCUCACUGCACUUCGUUUGGGUGCAGCGUUCUCCAAUUCUGGAGGAGACCGGUCAUAUCUUAAUCAUCUUCGAUGACCACCAUUACUUGAUCUGUGAACCCGGGCGUUAGCACGGGGCCGCUGAUCCCUAAGGGUCUCAGCAAUUUCAUGGUGUUGCCAUACUCGCAUAUUACAAGUAGGCUGCGCAAUUGUUUAAGGUCGCUGCGAAAGGCUUCAGUAGGGACGGAAGGGAAA
rnacentral:misc_RNA from 1 species